UGGUAAUUCCAGAGCUAAUACAUGCAAACAACAUGAAUCAUUCGUAGUAAUACGGGUUGAGACAUGUGCUUUUAUUAGACUUUAAAACCAAUAUCUGCACCUCGGUGUAGGUUUGUUUUAGAUGAAUCUGGAUAAUUAUGGCUGAUCGUACGGUCUUAGCACCGACGAUAGAUCAUUCAAAUGUCUGCCCUAUCAACUAUUGAUGGUAGUAUAGUGGACUACCAUGGUUGCAACGGGUAACGGGGAAUCAGGGUUCGAUUCCGGAGAGGGAGCCUGAGAAACGGCUACCACAUCUAAGGAAGGCAGCAGGCGCGUAAAUUACCCAAUCCCGGCACGGGGAGGUAGUGACGAAAAAUAACAAUACAGGA
rnacentral:rRNA from 1 species